UGAAUGAUAAUAUCAUCAGUGGCAUUUAUUCAUAACCUCACAGUGUAUACUGUACUACAAGCUGGGCACCAUCAAAUAGAAGAAAAAUGACACAAUCCCUACCUUCAAGGAACUUCUAUUCUGAUGAGGGAAACAAGCAGACUCAAAGUUCAAAUAUGCAGCAGGCAAACCAUUAUUCUAAAAAUGAGAAGAAUGACCACAUUAAAAACUGAGUACCAUCUUCUGCAAUCAAAAUGAAUGGAUUUUCUUCAUGGGUUGCUGCCUUUGAAGGAAAAAUGGAAUUCAAAUGCUUUGUCAAUAUUUGCAUCACUGAAAAGACAACCAAUGAGAUACCAGACAAGCAUAUUUCUGAGUGAAGAUACUCAAGAAGUAUUGGUAUUAAAGUAUCUACAAUCAAUAUAUUCAAAAGAAAAUGUUGUAAUCACCAGCCUAAGGAGGCAGUGCUUGUUCUAGAUUGGAUACAAGAGUACUAUAAAUUGUAUUUUAUCUCUUCAAUGAGUGCUGAAAACACUAACCACAACCCUAGAAAAGAUGUUUUAUUUUUGAAGAUACCAACCAAGUCAUGACCUGUAGAAGACUGUUGACGUUGAAAUAUGUAUUUGAAUGUGAUAAUAAGGCUAUGGUGUUCAAGUAUAUUGACUUGAUGUUAAAAUACUAAGACCUAGCUAAGCACUCUUAAUUGAUUCGGUGAAAAUGAUGAUGGAGUUCUCUGUCAUCAAUAAUGAAUGAGCCUUGAUCCAGUCACACAGACUUUGGGUUAAGAGAAGGAAUUGAUUAUAGUACUAAUAGUUUGCUUAGUAUCUACUUGCAUGCUUUCAUCCCUCUGAACCAUGUCACUGCUAGAACAGUAGGUGCAACAAGUGAUUAAAAUGACACUCUGUGUUAAACAAACAAAUGCAAAACAAAGUGAGUGUCCCAUAUGAAAUUGUAAAAUGGGCAUUGAUGUAUCCUCAUGAUUUAUUUUAUUAAUGAUGUGCAUUUAUCUAUGGUUUUAUUUAUUUUGGUGGUAGUGGUUCCUGUCGUUUUGUUGUCUGUCUUCCCCUUCUAGACCAUGAGCCUAGAAGGUUGUUGGGUAGGGAUUGUCUCUAUAUGUUGACAAAUUGUACUUUCCAAGCACUUAGUACAGUAAAUGUUCAGUAAAUGCGAUUGAAUGAGUUAAUGAAUAACCAAAAGAAUAUAAGCAUGAGAAGCAGCAUGACCUUUUGGAUAAAGCAUGGAACUGGGAGUCAGAAGGACCUGAGUUUUAAUGCUGGCUCCCCCACUUGACUGCUGUGUGACUUGGGCAAGACAUUUAACUUCUCUGUGCCUCAGUUACCUUACCUGUAAAAUGGGGUUUAUGACUGUGAGCCUCAUAUGGUACACGGACUGUGUCCAACCUAAUUUGUGUGUAUAUAUCCCAGAAUUUAGGACAGUGCGUGUCCCA
rnacentral:lncRNA from 1 species